rnacentral:rRNA from 1 species
CACGGAGUUAGCCGGUGCUUAUUCGUAUAGUACCUUCAGCCAGAUACACGUAUCUGGGUUUAUCCCUAUACAAAAGAAGUUUACAACCCAUAGGGCCGUCGUCCUUCACGCGGGAUGGCUGGAUCAGGCUCUCACCCAUUGUCCAAUAUUCCUCACUGCUGCCUCCCGUAGGAGUCUGGUCCGUGUCUCAGUACCAGUGUGGGGGAUCACCCUCUCAGGCCCCCUAAAGAUCAUUGACUUGGUGAGCCGUUACCUCACCAACUAUCUAAUCUUGCGCGUGCCCAUCUCUAUCCACCGGAGUUUUCAAUAUCAAAUGAUGCCACUUAAUAUAUUAUGGGGUAUUAAUCUUCCUUUCGAAAGGUUAUCCCCCUGAUAAAGGUAGGUUGCACACGUGUUCCGCACCCGUGCGCCGCUCUCAAAGAUCCGAAGAUCUUCUACCGCUCGGCUUGCAUGUGUUAGGCCUCCCGCUAGCGUUCAUCCUGAGCCAGGAUCAAACUCU